rnacentral:rRNA from 1 species
GCGCGAAAACUUUACAAUGCGGGAAACCGUGAUAAGGGAACUCCGAGUGCCCGUAAAAUCGGGCUGUCCAUCUGUUUAAAUAACAGGUGAAGAAAGGGCCGGGCAAGACCGGUGCCAGCCGCCGCGGUAAUACCGGCGGCUCGAGUGGUGGCCACUAUUACUGGGCUUAAAGCGUUCGUAGCUGGUUUGUUAAGUCUCUGGGGAAAUCUUCCGGCUUAACCGGAAGGCGUCUCAGGGAUACUGGCAGACUAGGGACCGGGAGAGGUGAGAGGUACUCCAGGGGUAGGAGUGAAAUCCUGUAAUCCUUGGGGGACCACCUGUGGCGAAGGCGUCUCACCAGAACGGCUCCGACAGUGAGGGACGAAAGCUGGGGGAGCAAACCGGAUUAGAUACCCGGGUAGUCCCAGCCGUAAACGAUGUGCGUUAGGUGUAUCGGUGACCACGAGUCACCGAGGUGCCGAAGAGAAAUCGUGAAACGUACCGCCUGGGAAGUACGGUCGCAAGGACGUGAAACUUAAAGGUAAGUUAGGUCGGGGGAGGCACCGACAACGAGGUGGAGCCGUCGCGGUUUAA